CCUACGGGUGGCAGCAGUGAGGAAUAUUGGUCAAUGGCCGGAAGGCUGAACCAGCCAAGCCGCGUGAAGGACGAAGGUGCAAAGCAUUGUAAACUUCUUUUGUCAGGGGACAAAAUCAGGCACGAGUGCCCGACCGAGGGUACCUUAAGAAAAAGCAUCGACUACCUCCGUGCCAGCAGCCGCGGUAACACGGAGGAUGCGAGGGUUAUCCGGAGUUAGUGGGGUAAAGGGGUGCGUAGGCGGAAUGUAAAGUCGACGGUAACAGCCCGGGGCUCAACCCCGGCGCGCCGUUGAAACUGGCUGUCUUGAGAUGGCGAGAGGUAUGCGGAAUGCGCGGUGGAGCGGUGAAAUGCAUAGAUAUCGCGCAGAACUCCGAUUGCGAAGGCAGCAUACCGGCGGCAAACUGACGCUGAGGCACGAAAGCGUGGGUAUCGAACAGGAUUAGAUACCCCUGUAGUC
rnacentral:rRNA from 1 species